UACGUAGGUGGCAAGCGUUGUCCGGAAUGACUGGGUGUAAAGGGUGCGUAGGCGGCUGGACAAGUUAGAAGUGUAAUCCCCGGGCUCAACCUGGGAGCUACUUCUAAAACUGUCCGGCUUGAGUGUGGGAGAGGUAAGUGGAAUUCCUAGUGUAGCGGUGGAAUGCGUAGAUAUUAGGAGGAACACCAGAGGCGAAGGCGACUUACUGGACCAUAACUGACGCUGAUGCACGAAAGCGUGGGGAGCAAACAGG
rnacentral:rRNA from 1 species